GAUGAACGCUAGCUACAGGCUUAACACAUGCAAGUCGAGGGGAAACGACAUCGAAAGCUUGCUUUUGAUGGGCGUCGACCGGCGCACGGGUGAGUAACGCGUAUCCAACCUGCCCACCACUUGGGGAUAACCUUGCGAAAGUAAGACUAAUACCCAAUGACGUCUCUAGAAGACAUCUGAAAGAGAUUAAAGAUUUAUCGGUGAUGGAUGGGGAUGGGUCUGAUUAGCUUGUUGGCGGGGUAACGGCCCACCAAGGCGACGAUCAGUAGGGGUUCUGAGAUGAAGGUCCCCCACAUUGGAACUGGGACACGGUCCAAACUCCUACGGGAGGCAGCAGUGAGGAAUAUUGGUCAAUGGGCGAGAGCCUGAACCAGCCAAGUAGCGUGCAGGAUGACGGCCCUAUGGGUUGUAAACUGCUUUUAUAAGGGAAUAAAGUGAGUCUCGUGAGACUUUUUGCAUGUACCUUAUGAAUAAGGACCGGCUAAUUCCGUGCCAGCCGCCGCCGUAA
rnacentral:rRNA from 1 species